rnacentral:rRNA from 1 species
GUCCAGACUCCUACGGGAGGCAGCAGUGGGGAAUAUUGCACAAUGGGGGAAACCCUGAUGCAGCGACGCCGCGUGAGUGAAGAAGUAUUUCGGUAUGUAAAGCUCUAUCAGCAGGGAAGAAGAAGGACGGUACCUGAGUAAGAAGCCCCGGCUAACUACGUGCCAGCAGCCGCGGUAAUACGUAGGGGGCAAGCGUUAUCCGGAUUUACUGGGUGUAAAGGGAGCGUAGACGGCGAAGAAAGUCUGAAGUGAAAGCCCGCGGCUCAACCGCGGAAUGGCUUUGGAAACUUUUUUGCUGGAGUACCGGAGAGGUAAGCGGAAUUCCUAGUGUAGCGGUGAAAUGCGUAGAUAUUAGGAGGAACACCAGUGGCGAAGGCAGCAUGCCGGCUCCACACUGACGCUGAGGCACGAAAGCGUGGGUAUCGAACAGGAUUAGAUACCCCCGUA